AGGGUGUAAACGCUGCAGACUUGGUGUUGGGAACCCUUCGGGGUGCUCAGUGCCGGAGAGAAGUUGUUAAGUCUGCUACUUGGGGAGUACGUCCGCAAGGAUGAAACUUAAAGGAAUUGGCGGGGGGAGGCACCGCAACGGGAGGAGCGUGCGGUUUAAUUGGAUUCAACGCCGAAAAACUCACCAGCAGCGACUGUUACAUGAAAGUCAGGUUGAUGACCUUACUAGAUUUUCAGAGAGGUGGUGCAUGGCGUCAGUGACU
rnacentral:rRNA from 1 species